rnacentral:rRNA from 1 species
GAUGAACGCUGGCGGCGUGCCUAAUACAUGCAAGUCGAGCGAACAGACGAGGAGCUUGCUCCUCUGACGUUAGCGGCGGACGGGUGAGUAACACGUGGAUAACCUACCUAUAAGACUGGGAUAACUUCGGGAAACCGGAGCUAAUACCGGAUAAUAUAUUGAACCGCAUGGUUCAAUAGUGAAAGACGGUUUUGCUGUCACUUAUAGAUGGAUCCGCGCCGCAUUAGCUAGUUGGUAAGGUAACGGCUUACCAAGGCAACGAUGCGUAGCCGACCUGAGAGGGUGGUCGGCCACACUGGAACUGAGACACGGUCCAGACUCCUACGGGAGGCAGCAGUAGGGAAUCUUCCGCAAUGGGCGAAAGCCUGACGGAGCAACGCCGCGUGAGUGAUGAAGGUCUUCGGAUCGUAAAACUCUGUUAUUAGGGAAGAACAAAUGUGUAAGUAACUAUGCACGUCUUAACGGUACCUAAUCAGAAAGCCACGGCUAACUACGUG